rnacentral:rRNA from 1 species
CCUACGGGAGGCAGCAGUGNGGAAUAUUGCACAAUGGACGCAAGCCUGAUGCAGCGACGCCGCGUGAGGGAUGACGGCCUUCGGGUUGUAAACCUCUUUCAGUAGGGAAGAAGCUGGAAGUGACCGUACCUGCAAAAGAAGCGCCNGCUAACUACGUGCCAGCAGCCGCGGUAAU